GCCUUCGUGGCUCAGCUGGUUAGAGCGCCGGUCUCAUAUUAGUAUGAGUAAUCAAUUGAUUACCUAAUCCGGAGAUCUCCAGUUCGAUCCUGGACGAGGGCA
rfam:Stereum hirsutum FP-91666 SS1 unplaced genomic scaffold STEHIscaffold_12, whole genome shotgun sequence.